GGAGAGGUGUCCGAGUGGUUUAAGGAAGCAGUCUUGAAAACUGUCGUGGCGCAAGCCACCGUGGGUUCGAAUCCCACCCUCUCCG
rnacentral:tRNA from 1 species